rnacentral:RNase_P_RNA from 1 species
GUGGUGAGAAGCAGAUGCAAGGAGCGACGCAAGGACAUUGUGAUUGUCCAGAAUUGGCUCCUGGGAAGGUCUGAGGUAAGGCCUCCCGGGCGUACCCUCUAGCGGGGGGAUGGCGGACUAUGCCAUGGUACCGUACUAGAAAUAUGUUAGCUGUCAUGAUUGCCACCGGGCACAAGAUGGCCGCAUUGCGGUUGGAUGCCGGCACGUGGCGGCUUUGAACCACGGUGCCGGUGCCAGCUGUGCUUAGUGCGAUCGUCAUCACAUCCUAGCGAUGGUGAACUCAAUUCAGACUACUCUUUCGCCAC